UUGGAUUAAUACCCCAUAGUAUUUUUGACCGGCAUCGGUUGAUUAUUAAAGUUCCAACGGUACAAGAUGAGCAUGCGUCCCAUUAGCUAGUUGGUGUGGUAACGGCACACCAAGGCAACGAUGGGUAGGGGUCCUGAGAGGGAGAUCCCCCACACUGGUACUGAGACACGGACCAGACUCCUACGGGAGGCAGCAGUGAGGAAUAUUGGUCAAUGGGCGCAAGCCUGAACCAGCCAUGCCGCGUGCAGGAUGACGGUCCUAUGGAUUGUAAACUGCUUUUGUACAGGAAGAAACACUCCCUCGUGAGGGAGCUUGACGGUACUGUAAGAAUAAGGAUCGGCUAACUCCGUGCCAGCAGCCGCGGUAAUACGGAGGAUCCAAGCGUUAUCCGGAAUCAUUGGGUUUAAAGGGUCCGUAGGCGGUUUUAUAAGUCAUUAGUAAAAUCUGGUCGCUCAACGA
rnacentral:rRNA from 1 species